rnacentral:rRNA from 1 species
UACGGAGGGUGCAAGCGUUAUUCGGAAUUACUGGGCGUAAAGGGCGCGUAGGCUGUUUGUUAAGUCCGAUGUGAAAGCCCCCGACUCAAUCGGGGAAGUGCAUUGGAUACUGGCAGACUAGAGUUCAGGAGAGGAGAACGGAAUUCCCGGUGUAGAGGUGAAAUUCGUAGAUAUCGGGAGGAACAACAGAGGCGAAGGCGGUUCUCUGGACUGAUACUGACGCUGAGGCGCGAAAGCGUGGGGAGCAAACAGG